rnacentral:rRNA from 1 species
UACGUAGGGUGCGAGCGUUGUCCGGAAUUAUUGGGCGUAAAGAGCUUGUAGGCGGUUUGUCGCGUCUGCUGUGAAAAUCCGGGGCUCAACCCCGGACUUGCAGUGGGUACGGGCAGGCUAGAGUGUGGUAGGGGAGACUGGAAUUCCUGGUGUAGCGGUGAAAUGCGCAGAUAUCAGGAGGAACACCGGUGGCGAAGGCGGGUCUCUGGGCCGAUACUGACGCUGAGGAGCGAAAGCGUGGGGAGCGAACAGG